UGUUGUUAAGCAACGGUUGAAACAUAGUGGAGGCAGUGUUUUCGAUCAAAGGGAGAGAGAGAGAGAGAGAGAGAGAGAGAGAGAGAGCACAGAACGGGGUUUAUGCUUUAAUUGAAAUUUCUAUUCUUUUUUUCCUUCUUACUUUUGUCAUCUUUUUUCUUUUUUAUUAUUUAUUUUCUUUGCUGUUUCGUUCGCCUUUUGGAUUUCAAUUUCAAUUUAGAGAAGAAAAUCCAACUGUGGAAGAUACGAACCUACUUAUCAAUUAUCAUACCGCUAUGUUUUGUAUUUACUUCUCUUUAGUAAAAGAGCAUUUCAUGUUUUUAGGCGCUUUGCUUUAAUUAUGCUGCUCUGAAAUUACAGAGAGAGAGAGAGAGAGAGAGUUCCUUGUGGAGUGCCUCUCCCUCCUAAUUGAAGCUCCAUAGUUACUGUUACUUGUCCUAGGAUUCUUCUUCAAACCCAUUUCUCAUUAUUUUUUGGUUGGGGAGAGUUUCUUCUCUUGUAUAUGUGAGAGUUGCUCUGCAAAGGUUUGGGAUCUGGAUUUCUAGGGUUUGAGGGUUAUGAGCUUUUGACUUUUUCUCUCUCCAUCUUCGGCAUCACACUUUCCUUUUGUAAGAAGUUGGGUAUUGAAACCUACUCCAGGAUUUCGAUCGUUGGGGAAAUGCAGGGUUGUGGUCUUCGUGGAAUUAGGGAGUUUUAGCUCAAUUUGUUACAGGUUGAUGGGCUGAAACUUUACUUCUUGUCUGUGUUGUGUUCGUUCAAGUGACUCAAUUCAAGCUUCCUGGUUCUCUCAUCUGAAAUUGAUUUUUGAGAGCAGUGGAAGGUAUCAUGCAUCUCUCACUAUGGAAGCCCAUUUCCCACUGUGCUUCUCUGCUCUUGGACAAGAAGAGCAGGAGGAAAGAUGAUGAUUCCGUGGUCGAGAUAAGGAGGAACCCAUCAAUGCUUCGGAAGCUGCAAGAGAACAAGCUUAGGGAAGCUCUUGAAGAAGCUUGUGAAGAUGGUUCACUCUUCAAAUCUCAAGACAUAGAGCCAGAGACUGUUGCCAACCAGGAUGAAAGCUUUGGGAGAUCCCGUUCCCUUGCCAGGCUGCACGCCCAGCGGGAGUUCCUUCGUGCCACUGCCCUUGCCACUGAUCGCACUUAUGAGUCCGAGGAGGAAAUUCCCACCUUACAAGAGGCAUUUUCGAAGUUCCUCACUAUGUACCCCAAGUACUCGUCAUCAGAGAAAGUUGAUCAGUUGAGGUCUGAUGAGUAUUCACAUUUGGCACCUAAGGUGUGCCUUGAUUACUGUGGCUUUGGUCUGUUCUCUUUUGUACAGACUAUUCACUACUGGGACUCUUCUACAUUUAGCUUGUCUGAGAUAACUGCAAAUUUGAGUAACCAUGCACUUUAUGGUGGUGCUGACAAAGGAACAGUUGAACAUGAUAUAAAGGUUAGAAUCAUGGAUUAUCUGAAUAUUCCUGAGAAUGAAUAUGGCCUUGUUUUUACUGUUAGUAGAGGGUCAGCUUUUAAAUUGCUGGCUGAAUCAUACCCUUUCCAUACAAACAAGAAAUUGUUGACCAUGUUCGACCAUGAGAGCCAGUCGGUUGCUUGGAUGGCUCAGUGUGCCAGGGAGAAAGGUGCCAAAGUAUGUAGUGCAUGGUUUAAAUGGCCAACCCUCAAACUCUGCUCCACCGAUUUGAGAAAACAGAUUUCCAGCAAAAAGAAGAGGAAGAAGGAUUCAGCUACCGGUCUGUUUGUGUUCCCAGUUCAGUCCAGAGUAACUGGUGCUAAGUAUUCGUACCAGUGGAUGGCCUUGGCACAGCAGAACAACUGGCAUGUCUUGCUUGAUGCUGGAUCAUUGGGGCCUAAGGACAUGGAUUCACUUGGGUUGUCCCUAUUCCGGCCAGAUUUUAUAGUUACAUCAUUUUACAGGGUGUUUGGGUAUGAUCCAACAGGUUUUGGAUGUCUUCUGAUCAAGAAAUCAGUUAUGGCAAGCCUCCAGAAUCAGUCUGGGAGUACUGGCUCUGGAAUGGUUAAGAUUACUCCUGAAUUUCCAAUAUAUUUGGGUGAUUCAGUUGAUGGAUUGGAUGGAUUGGCUGGUAUUGAGGAUGAGGAAGUCAUUGCUGCUGGUGAUAAGACUUCUGAAACUCGUCAGGGCUCUCAAUUACCUGCCUUUUCUGGUGCGUUUACGUCUGCUCAGGUCAGAGAUGUAUUUGAGAAUGAAAUGGAUCAAGACAGCUCAGAAAGAGAUGGAACUAGCACUAUAUUUGAAGAGACUGAAAGCAUAUCUGUUGGGGAGGUGAUGAAGAGUCCUGUCUUCAGUGAGGAUGAGUCAUCGGAAAAUUCAUUUUGGAUUGAUUUGGGUCAGAGUCCAGUCGGGUCUGAUGGUGUUGGUCAUUUAAAUAAACCGAGGAUGUCUUCUCCCUUACCAUCCAUGUGGUUUAAUGGGAGGAAGGCCCAGAAGCAACAUUCUCCAAAACCAACAUCCAAGAAAUAUGGAAGUCCUAUGUAUGAUGACAGAGAUGUAAAUCUAGGUCUUCAUGAUGAUCGCCAUGUAUUGUCAUUUGAUGCUGCUGUCCUAAUGUCACAAGAGCUAGACCGGGUCAAAGAAGUUCCGGAAGAAGAGCAGGAUGAGUCUAAUCACUAUUCUAGAAAUGGUAAUUCAUCAGAUCAUUUAGAAGCCAAUGGAAUAUUGGAAGAACCUGGAACCAGUGAAGCAGCGCAAAAUGGAUCUGUUGCUUUGAAAGGAUCCUGGCUCAAUCAACAUCAAAGCUUAGAGAACAGCUCUACCUCUGAAAUAUGUUGUGAUGUUAAAGAAAGUGCCAUAAGAAGGGAAACUGAAGGUGAAUUCAGGUUAUUGGGUAGGAGGGAAGGGAAUCGAUAUGGUGGUGGCAGGUUUUUUGGUUUGGAAGAGAAUGAACACACCAGCAGGGGAAGAAGAGUGUCAUUUAGCAUGGAGGAUAAUCGUAAAGAGUACCUAAACCAGACCCUAGAGCCAGGGGACAUAUCUGCAGCUAGCAUAGAUGAUGAAGAGGCUGUCACAAGUGAUGGAGAAUAUGGUGAUGAGGAGGGUUGGGGCAGGAGGGAACCAGAGAUAGUAUGCCGGCAUAUAGAUCAUGUAAAUAUGCUUGGUCUCAACAAAACUACAUCCAGGCUUAGGUUUUUGAUAAAUUGGCUUGUGACCUCCUUAUUGCAGCUGAAGUUACCUGUUUCUGAUGGGGAUGAAAAAGUGAAUCUUGUCCACAUCUAUGGCCCUAAAAUAAAAUAUGAGAGGGGCGCAGCUGUGGCUUUCAAUGUCAGAGACAGAAGCAAGGGGCUGAUCAAUCCAGAGAUUGUCCAAAAGCUUGCUGAGAAUGAAGGGAUCUCUCUUGGUAUUGGUUUUCUCAGUCAUAUAAGGAUCCUUGAUGGCUCAAGACAGCAGCGGGUAUCCCUGAAUCUUGAAGAUACAUCUCUUUGCAGGCCGAUGGAGAAUGGUCGGCGGGAUGGAAAAGGCAGCUUUGUAAGGCUUGAAGUUGUGACAGCUUCACUGGGCUUUUUAACCAACUUUGAAGAUGUGUAUAAAUUGUGGGCUUUUGUGGCUAAGUUUCUUAACCCGGCAUUUAUCAGGGAAGAUAGUCUUCCAACUGUUGAAGAAGGGUAUGAGACAUAAGUUGGCAGUGACUUUAUCAGAUUCUGGAAACUGAAACUGGACCUGAAACAUCAUUUAUUUGAAGAUCCUAACCGGGAGCGGCAGCUGGAAGAAUGAAUGUGAUCAUUUGUAUGAUCUGUCAAAAUGGACAGAUAUUCAUCUCUGCGUCAAAGUCAGACGAGGCAAGCAGGUGGAUUUCUUGAUUUAUGUUUCUUGUUGCUUAGAUUUUUCAUUUUUCUGUCCCCUUUUUUUAGCUUCUUGUAGAGUUGGCCUUAUCAGAUUUGUUACAUAUUGGGGAGCCAUGGUGUUGUUUGAAGCAAUAUUUUAUGGGUAGAAUCUCUAUUGUUUAAAAACUGUUCUUCUGUUGCAUACUCAACUUUUGUAAAAAGGGUAGUGUUCAUUUUAUGCUAUAGUUACAGAUCAUCAAUUUUGGUGCUUUCUUUGUUGGUCUUA